rnacentral:rRNA from 1 species
GACGAACGCUGGCGGCGUGCUUAACACAUGCAAGUCGAACGGAAAGGCCCUGCUUUUGUGGGGUGCUCGAGUGGCGAACGGGCGAGUAACACGUGAGUAACCUGCCCUUGACUUUGGGAUAACUUCAGGAAACUGGGGCUAAUACCGGAUAGGAGCUCCUGCUGCAUGGUGGGGGUUGGAAAGUUUCGGCGGUUGGGGAUGGACUCGCGGCUUAUCAGCUUGUUGGUGGGGUAGUGGCUUACCAAGGCUUUGACGGGUAGCCGGCCUGAGAGGGUGACCGGCCACAUUGGGACUGAGAUACGGACCAGACUCCUACGGGAGGCAGCAGUGGGGAAUAUUGCACAAUGGGCGGAAGCCUGAUGCAGCAACGCCGCGUGCGGGAUGACGGCCUUCGGGUUGUAAACCGCUUUCGCCUGUGACGAAGCGUGAGUGACGGUAAUGGGUAAAGAAGCACCGGCUAACUACGUG